UCCUUUUCAGGAAUUAAGAACCUAUAGGAGUAUUCAGCAGGAAACGAUCCUUGUGCACUCAAACAACAGUGCAAGGCUUCAAGACCUGGAGGAAUUCUGGCACAGCUCUCAGGAUUGCUCAUGAUUACAUGGCUGUCCAUCAUGGAGACUGAGUGAUCCUUGCUUGAUGGAGCAUAUCCUCUCUGCCUGUCUUGCUUGGAAGCAGUGCGCCUGCGUGCUGCAAUGCCCUGAGCCGUGCUUGACGUGUCCCCAGGAAACCUGGCCCCACGUCCAUUGGGACUGAAUUUCAAGGCAUAUCCCUAUUAGCUUAUUUUGAUGUUUUUAUCUUUCCGUGAUCGGGAACCAUUCUCUGCAGCCAAAACAGACACUUUCCCGAUGGCAUCAAGUGAAUUUUUAGCUCUCCUCUGAGGAGAGGCCUUCAAUAAAAGAUGAGCCGCUUGCCACGCUGACUGGCUGGAGCUCUGCGGCGUCUCCGGCGGUUCCUGCCUUUUGCUGUAAGUUUACACUUGUAUGAACAUCGGCUCGGCUGCCCCGCGCUGCUGUAAGUGGAGG
rnacentral:lncRNA from 1 species